rnacentral:rRNA from 1 species
CGCUGGACGGGGCGAAGCCUGUCAGCAAUGCCGCGUGCAGGAAGAAGGCCUUCGGGUUGUAAACUGCUUUUGUACGGAACGAAACGGCCUUUUCUAAUAAAGAGGGCUAAUGACGGUACCGUAAGAAUAAGCACCGGCUAGCUGGGUGCGAGCAGCCGCGGUAAUACGUAGGGUGCGAGCGUUAAUCGGAAUUACUGGGCGUAAAGCGUGCGCAGGCGGUUCUAUAAGACAGAUGUGAAAUCCCCGGGCUCAACCUGGGAAUGGCAUUUGUGACUGUAGAGCUAGAGUACGGUAGAGGGGGAUGGAAUUCCGCGUGUAGCAGUGAAAUGCGGGGGAUAUGCGGAGGAACACCGAUGGCGAAGGCAAUCCCCUGGACCUGUACUGACGCUCAUGCACGAAAG